rnacentral:rRNA from 1 species
GACGAACGCUGGCGGCGUGCCUAAUACAUGCAAGUAGAACGCUGAAGGAGGAGCUUGCUUCUCUGGAUGAGUUGCGAACGGGUGAGUAACGCGUAGGUAACCUGCCUGGUAGCGGGGGAUAACUAUUGGAAACGAUAGCUAAUACCGCAUAAGAGUAGAUGUCGCAUGACAUUUGCUUAAAAGGUGCAAUUGCAUCACUACCAGAUGGACCUGCGUUGGAUUGGCUAGUUGGUGAGGUAACGGCUCACCAAGGCAACGAUACAUAGCCGACCUGUGAGGGGGAUCGGCCACACUGGGACUGAGACACGGCCCAGACUCCUACGGGAGGCAGCAGUAGGGAAUCUUCGGCAAUGGACGGAAGUCUGACCGAGCAACGCCGCGUGAGUGAAGAAGGUUUUCGGGUCGUAAAGCUCUGUUGUAAGAGAAGAACGAGUGUGAGAGUGGAAAGUUCACACUGUGACGGUAUCUUACCAGAAAGCGACGGCUAACUACGUG